AGACGCCGACUUUAGCGUUUCCGAGAUGAAGACGCCCUCGAGAAUACGGUUGAUUCAGUGGGGCGCCUGAGGAGACAUGCAGGUGGCCAACAGGCACAGGAAAAGAUGCCAGCAUCGCUAAUUAUCAGAGAAAUACAAACCAAAAUCACAGCGAGGUGCCACCCCACACUGGACAGAACGGCCAUCAUCAGAGGCUGCGGAUGGUAACGACCAGGGCGAGGCGGAGAAGAGGAACGUUCGUACCCUGUUCGGGGAGGCGUGAAGCGGCUCGGCCACUCCCGAAACCAGUACAGAGGUGCUUUAAAACCAAAAUUAGAGCUACCAUCUUAUCGAUUAAUCUUACUCCUGGGCCUCUAUCUGGAAAACAUGAAACUCUUCAUUUGAGAAGAUAACGCAUCCCGUGUUCAUAGCAGCACGAUUUAUAAUGGCAAAGACAUGGAAGCUCCCGAAGUGUUCGACAGCAUGUGAAUGAACAGAGAAGAUGUGGUACAAUAUAUGCAGUGGAAUAUUGCUCAGCCAUGAAAAAGAAUGAUGUGAUGCCAUUUUCAGCAACAUGGUGGACCUAGGAAAAUGUACUUGCCAAAGUAAGUCAAACAGGGAAGGACAGGCAUUACAGGACAUCAGGUACAUGCAGAAUCUAAAAAAAGAAUACAAAUGAAUCUAUGUACAAAAUAGAAGCAAACUCACGGAUACAGAAAAUGAAUUUACGGCUUCCAAAGGGGGGAGAGAGGGAAGGCGGGGUAAACUAGGAGCGUGGGGUUAACAAAUAUCAUUACACAGAAAAUACAGAAGUAACAAAGAUUUCCUGUGUAGCAGAUAUUACAUAUCUUGUAAUAACCUAUAGUGGAAUAUAAUCUGAAAAAAUAUAUGUAACCGAACCACUUUGCUGUAGCACUAAAAUUGACACAAUAGGAGUUCCCGUCAUGGCGCAGUGGUUAACGAAUCUGACCAGGAGCCAUGAGGUUGCGGGUUUGACCCUGGCCUUGCUCAGCGGGUUAAGGAUCCGGCGUUGCCGUGAGCUGUGGUGCAGGUUGCAGACACGGCUCGGAUCCUGCAUGGCUGUGGCUCUGGCGUAGGCCGGUGGCUACAGCUCCGAUUCGACCCUUAGCCCGGGAACCUCCAUAUGCCGUGGAAGUGGCUCAAGAAAAGGCAAAAAGAUGAAAAAAUAAAUAAAUAAAAUUG
rnacentral:lncRNA from 1 species